ensembl:misc_RNA 7SK 7SK RNA
GGAUGCGAGGGUGAUCUGGCUGCAACAUCUGUCACCCCAUUGACCCUGCUGAUCUGGCUGGCUAGGCGGGUGUCCCCUUUCUCCCUCAGCACUUCAUGUGCGUCCCUCCCGAAGCUGUGCACUGGGUCUAAGUGGAUGACCACCCUUAAUAGAGGAGGACCGUUUCCUCCAUCAAAGAUGGAGGAGGAGGAGGAUGA